GUUGGGGUUUUGUCUAAGCUCCACCCCACACCUACCUGGCAAUAGCCAGGUAUGCCCCGCCCCAGCGAUCUGGCCCACUAUAAGAGGGGCUACUUGCUCCUCCUCUCUCUCUUUGCUCUCCGCUCUCCCACAUACUCUCACCUCUCUGCCCCUGGGGCUCUUCCCCCCCCCCACGUGAUCAUGGCCAGCCUCCACUCUCUCCACUCUCUCCACUCUCUCCACUCUCUCUCUCUCUCUCUCUCUCUCUCUCUCUCUCUCUCUCUCUCUCUACCUCUCUCUCUCUACCUCUCUCUCUACCACUAACUCCCAUCCCCUAUUCUGAAUAAACUCUAUUCUAUACCAUGUCUGUGUGUGUGUGGUCACUCAGGGGCAGAGGUGCCCAGGCAAGGGCCCGCCUGGACACCUUCCCCCAUGCCGCCUAGCCCCACUCACCUAACCCCUAUACUCCCCCCUUUAAG